GAGACAGGCUCAGUGGUAGAGCUAUCGGCUGUUAACCGAUCGGUCGUAGGUUCGAGUCCUACCUGUGGAGCCA
rnacentral:tRNA from 1 species